UUCAGCUGCCACUGAGACCCUUUUUACAAAAGAAAUCAUUUUCCACUAUAAAGAACUCUGUUCAAAUGGCUCGAUCAGCACUAGAUGAAAUGACAGAGACUGGUGCUUUCAACCGCACGCCAUCAACUUUUCGCAAUUUUAUUUUGAAAGAUAAGAAUUCAAAAUUUCCUGCAGAAGCAGGAAGAUAUCAUCUCUACAUAUCAUAUGCAUGCCCUUGGGCAUCCAGAUGUCUAUCCUUUAUCAAACUCAAGGGCCUUGAUGAGGCAAUCACUUUUACAUCAGUUAAGCCAAAGUGGGAGAGGACCAAAGAGACCGAUGACCAUUUUGGAUGGGUCUUUCCUGUUUCUGAGACAGAAGAAGCCAGAGCUGAUCUCGACCCUCUGAAUGGAGCUAAAAGUGUCAGGGAAUUGUAUGAGCUUGCCAGUUCAAAUUAUUCUGGGAAAUACACUGUUCCUGUUCUAUGGGAUAAAAAAUUGAAGACAAUUGUGAACAAUGAGAGUGCAGAGAUAAUUCGGAUGUUAAACAGCGAAUUUAAUGAAAUAGCGAAGAAUCCUGAUCUGGACUUGUACCCCUCUCACCUGCAAGCAACUAUCGAUGAUGUCAAUGGAUGGGUUUAUGAAGCAAUAAACAAUGGUGUUUACAAGUGUGGUUUUGCUAAGAAACAAGGACCUUAUGAUGAGGCAGUAUCUAAGCUAUAUGAAGCUCUGGACAAAUGCGAGGAAAUACUAGCUAAUCAGAGGUAUAUUUGUGGGAAUGUACUGACUGAAGCUGAUAUCCGUUUGUUUGUAACUCUCAUAAGGUUUGAUGAGAUGCUAAAUUUGAAGUACCUUAGCAAUUUCCUCCGCCAAGGAAGAAAAAAUUUACGAACUUUUGUCUUUCGACUUAACAAUACGUAUGCAUCCUCAAUGAUUCUUGUUUUAGAGCAUAACUGAUGUCUAUGUAUAACUAGCUAUACCAAAACAUGAAGGCAGCAUUUAUCAUCACCGCUUAGUUUUUGAACAAGCUUGCGACUGCAUUCUAGGAAUUCCUCAAUUCUCAGAACCAGUUUUGAGUGCUGUCAUCAGUGUAUUCCCAAGAUCAACUGAAUACUAUCCAAUGAGUUCAGCUCUUUUGGACGUUGCAAACUCUACGCUAAAUGCCAUUAUAUUGAUGAUAAACAUAGUGGAAGCUGGUGGACGUUCUUAUGGUUUAUGCAGUUCAUUUCAAGUGCAACAAGAAGCUAUUGCGUGAAUGUCCAAAUUUGUUCAAUUACACUAAAGACAUAUACCAAAUUCCGGGCAUGAGCAGCACGGUGAACAUGGACCACAUCAAGAAGCACUAUUAUGGAAG